ACCCCUCUUGGUACCCGCUGUGGCAGCUGAGCCGGAGGGGUCCCGCUGGGGGCCCGGGAGGGAAGGAAGAGGGCUCCUCCCCCGCGGCUUGGGUGGGGAGCGGGGCUCGGGGGGCACCGCCCCACCCCCUUCUCUGGAAUCCCCACGCCGUGAAGUCAUAAUCCUGUGUCUGUGACACCCUGUCGGUUGCCAUGGAGACGACUCGCUGUUAAACAGUGGCGUUCCCGAUGAGGGCUGCAGGGGUUCCGAGGUGGACCUAGGCAGUAGAAACCCCUGUUUAGGGUGAACCGUGGCGGGCGCCGCUGGCCUCUUGGAAGAGGACAGACUAGCAGCUGCGAAGGAGAUGGGGCUGGGCUGCACCCCUGCAAGGGCCCCGGAGACAGGGGAUGAGGGACAGGGGAAGGGGCUGGUGGUCCUCUCUCCUGAGGCCCCGCACCGUCACAUGGAUGACUUGGCAGAAUAGCUGCUGGGCCAGUGUUGUCGCCUGUGGCUCUACUUUAGGGAAACUGACUAGGAAAUCAUGAUGUCGCCAUUUCGAUGGGGUCCCCAGAAGAGAGAUGUCCUUCCCAAAAGUUCCUGGACAGGGCUGGGGAAAGAGUUCAGAUAAUCAGUAUCUUGGUGUUCUGGGCUGUUCCCUUACAACUGCACAACUCUGGACCUCCAGCAUCAGAACCACUGGGGCCUAGCAUCUUGCAGAAGGGCUGCUGAACGCUGGAGGCUUGCAACUGCUAAACUCAGAACUCAGGAAAUGCUGCCCGGAUGGGUGAGUCCUUUUAACACCUCUUGGGUUGAUUUUUCUCACAGGUUUUUGGUGUUUGCAAAGCUCUGAGACUGUGACCUCAAGCUGCUCAGUACUUUGGCCCCAUUUCAGAGGCUUUAGGCCUGGGCCAGAGAUGGAUGCUGCAGGGGCUGUUUUAUUCUAAGUUUUUUUCUUCAUUGGUCAUUUCAUUGGUCAUUGGGCUUUAAGAAAAGCACUUCUUCAGGAUCAAAGAAGCAGUGAUGGAAGGAAAAGCAGAGAAACCCAAUGAGCCCCGACUGGUGGUGAAACUUCCAGGAAAUAUCACUUGCCUCUUGAUUAGGGGAAAUCACUUUUAAAUGACCCUGAGUCCUGUGCCCCAAGCAUAGAUUCUGGCAGAAAGAAACGAGCUGGACUGAUGACACACUAUGGCAUCUGGUCAUGGGGAAAGAAUGAUCUUCAGGAAAAAUCACACCCUUGGCAAAGGCUUUUUACAGAGGCAAGGGCGAGCCGGCCAAUUCUGACAAUGCUCCAGUGUAGCAAGGGAGCCAGGCACUUAGUCAUCAUUACUUAUGUGUCUUCUCUUCCUCCCACGUCUCCUUGUAUAACUGUCUUUUGGGGAGGGGUGAAGUGAUAUUAAGAAAAUCAACAGCGCUUUGAAAAAGGGGCAGGGGGAAAAAACAAGAAGGGGAGAAAGAGUUGGGAAGAGCUCUUGGGUGAUGGGGAGAUGGCAUGGGGAUAUUCUGGAGCCUGACGGAACUGUGUGGUCCCACCAGCCGGAGAUGCUGGGAAGACAGGAAGGAAUUCGGGAGGUGGCAGAGAUGAAGUUGGCUCACAAAAUGCAGGGCUCCCUGAGCACUUUACAAAUACCAGCUUGCAAAUUAAUCAUGAUGAAUACUCCCCGGUCAUCAGGAAACCCUUGAUGGAUGGAGGACAAUGCACAGAGAUCAAAGUUCAGGGGCAGCACCAAUAUUCAUUUGGGGCAGUUGGAGUGAGAGCAGCACGGGGUGACAGCCUGGUUGGCCUCAUAGGCUUUCUCAUCUUUUGCAAGAUCUGGAAACCAUGCAAAGGGUGUAAUGGGGAGAGGCGCUGACAUCAGGCAUUAUGCGACCACUGAAUGGGGGCAAAGAGGCAGGAGGAGAAGUGAGUGAUGACGGGUCAACAGCUGCAGGUAGACCCAUUUGCAGGUUAUCAGAAACUAACUUAACUAUUCAGCUCUCUUUUUGUGGUUACCUUGAACGCUGUGAAUCUACUUGAAAACCAGGAUGAUCCUUCGAGUGAGCUGCAGAUGUCCAACUGGGCAUGUUUUCUGCUUCGAAGUCACAGGUAAUUCGGUGUACAAGUUUAACGCCCUGAUAGGCCCUAGCCUUAGCUCCGUUUUAAAUUCCCAGAGUGUUUUUGUGUCUGUGUGCAUGUGGGGGGAACACCUGAAAACCCAGCAAUGCUGCUUCCACAGCGAUCUCCUGGGCCCCUUCCAAAGAUGGUCAUAUUAUGGGCAGCUGGUUUUGAUUUUUACAUUUGCAACAGCUACUUGGAGGAUUGCCAGCAACAGGCAGGCAAUCAGGACAUAUUUAUUAAGUGUACUGGGCACCGGGCACUGGUCCUGGAAUUCUCCUGGUUGUAAGCAAGUGAGGGGACAGGGAGGUGAGAGCUAGAAUAGCCAUUUUGAAGUGUGAGAUUUAUUGGACCCCAUACUGGGCAACUGACUGAGAGAGGCUACCAGUCUUCCAGCUAAACUCGCCUCUGGUCAAGAAUCAGCAAUUGCUUUCCAUAGCAAAGUGUUAAUACAAUAUCUGUUACUCCCAACACAACCUCCUGUGGGAAGGGACCAUCUGUCUGCUUUAACCUUGGAUCCUCAGCGUCCACAUCAGGGUACCUGGCCUGAGGUGAGUGCUGUAGAAAUAGUUGUUGAAAGAAUGCAUGAAGACCUGCUCUGCCUAAGGGCUGGGGACAGAUUGGGAGUCUUCUGUGUCCCCUCCAGAGCAUCUGGUGGCCCAUUUUUAGGUCUCAAGGUCACUGCCAAGAAAGAGAAGCUGCUAAAGUGACACCUCUGUGCACCCACAUGACUUAACACAAAAGUUAACACGAGCUCUUCAAAAACAAACCUCUCAAGUGUCUCCUGCCUUCCCUGAGGACAGCAUUGGUGGCAUCAGAUAGGGGUUGGGGCUGGGUGACCUGCUGGUCCUUGGCCAUCACUGUGGCCCAGAGGUCAUUUAAGUAGCUCUCUGCUCAGCACACAGGCAGAGGGAAUAGAUGGAAGGUAGAGGUAAACACUGCAUGUGGCCAUGGUGAAGGCACUCCAGAGCCUGGGAAACUGAAAGGGACAUCAUAAAACCAACACAUAAUGGACCAUUGCAGAGACAGGCAAAACCAGUCAGAAGAAAUAGCAUGGUGCCCAGGCCAGGGACACCUGACCUAAGGUAUUUUGUUUUUUUGAGACAGGAGUCGCUCUCUGUCACUCAGGCUGGAGUGCAAUGGUGUGAUCACAGCUCACUGCAGUCUCAACCUCCCAGGCUCAAGCGAUCCUCCCACCUCAGCCUCCUUAGUAGUAGCUGGGACUACAGGUGUGCACCACCACCCCCGAGAGGGCUCUGCCGAAUACCCUAGAGGAAGGAAUGCUGCACAGAGAGGCCGAGAAGAAUCUGGACAGACAGACCUUGGUGGAUUUAGAUCUCUUUUUGUCCAAUCCCAUUUUGACACAGUUGUCCAUGCUUCACUCAUGCUUAUCCAAUGAAGUUUCCAUAACAGGCCUGAGAGGACAGGGUUCAGGAGCUUCCAGAGAGCUAAGCAGGUGGAGGUUCCUCAGGGGGGUGUUUCAGGGAGGGAGUGGAAACUCUGCCCCUUCCCCCAUAUCUUGCCCUAUGCAUUUCCUUCAUCUGUAUCCUUUAUUUUUCUGAGACAGAGUCUCGCUCUUGUCGCCCAGGCUAGAGUGCAAUGGUAUGAUCUUGACCCACUGCAACCCCCACCUCCAGGGUUCAAGUGAUUCUCCUGCCUCAGCCUCCCAAGUAGCUGGGAUUACAGGCACCUGCCACCACACCCGGCUAACUUUUGUAUUUUUAGUAGAGACGGGGUUUCACCAUGUUGGCCAAAGUAGUCUCAAACUCCUGACCUCAGGUGAUCCGCCCACCUCAGCCUCCCAAAGUGCUGGGGUUACAGGCAUGAGCCACUAUGCCUGACCGUAUCCUUUAUAUCUUUUAUAAACAGUCAAUCAGUAAAUGUGUUUCUCUGACUUCUGUGAGAUGCUCUAGCAGACUAAUCAGAUCCACCGAGGGGUCAUGGGAACCCCAACCAGAAGCCUGUGGGUCAGAAUUUCUGGAGUCCUGGACUUGUGUCUGGUGUCUGAAGUGGGCAAGUCUUCAGGACUGAGCCCUCAACCUGUGGGAUCUGAUGCUGUCUCCAGGUAGAGAGCAAUGGCAUUGAAUUGGCGGACACCCGGCUGGGGUCUGCUGCAGAGCUGAUUGCUUGCUUGGUGGUGGAGAGAAAUCUCCCUCCACGUGUGGUCACAGCAUCUUCUGUCUGUGUUGAUUGCUUUUGGUGCUGAUUGAGAGAACGGGAAAAAGCACAUCGAAUGGUCUUUUUUCCCCAUAUUCAAAGUGGUGUAAUGGUUAGGAGGUGGGUUUGGAAAUCCCAGUGGGGUGACCGCGGCCACGUUACCUUUCUGGCCUCAGUUGCAUUGUCUAUAAAAUGGGAUCCUCUCAAGCACUCCUAUCUCCUCCUGGAAUGCUUGAGAGGAUUAAAUGAGAAAAUUUACGGAAAGUGUUUACUGCAGUGCAUGGCACGUAGUAAGAGCUCAAAAUGGUCCCAAUGAUGAAGAUGACAAUAAUCUGGCUUCUAGGUAGUCACGUGGCAGGCAACAGCUAUGCAGAUCCUCAUAAUCUACUUGGGGUGACAGUUUAACACAGGGGUUGGCAAUUCUAGCCCACUUCCUAUUUUUAUAAAUAAAGCUUUAUUGAAAUGCAGCCAUGCUCAUUCAUUUUGGAUCACGCUGCACUGGCAGAGUUGAGUGGUGGUGAUAGACACCUGUGGUCAAUAGAACAUAACGGCCCUUUAUAGAAGAAAGGGUAUACUAUUUGGCCCUUUACAGAAAAGGUUUGUCAUCCUGUCCUCGUUCAUUAGUAGACAACCAGCUGGUUCCUGGACUUCACCGAGGAAAGUGCUAUAUUAGGCAGUUGUGGGUAUAAAGUCUGGGCUCCAACAUUUGCUCUGUGACCUUGGGCAAGUUACUUACCUACUCUGGGCUCAUCAUUUUCACAGAGGAAACAGGAGUGAUGACAGUGGGGAUGAAGUGGGAUACUGUCUGGACCAUGCUUUGCAUAGUGCCUGAUGGCUAGGAAGGACUCUAUACGAAGUAGUUACUAUGAUUAGCUAUUAUAUUUCAACUGACAAAAGGUACAAAGAAACUCCCAGGAAGAGGGUCAUUGCUGCAUGCUGCUCUCUUUAAAGAACGCCCAGCAGUAAUCCCAUACAGAGCCAACGAGAUAUGUGGACAUCAAAAGGGAGUGCUCCUAUGUAACAUACCCAGUAAAUUAAUGAUUCCACUCCCUUUUCAUUUAAAGCAGUGGAUCAGAAUUUGAAAAGGAGUAAAGGUCAAGGCCAUGAGGUCUGACUAACAUGAUAGCAUCAGUGCCUGGCCCAUAGUAGGCCCCGGUAUCUACUGGCUGAAUGGAUGGAGCUGGUUGUUUAACUGUAAAACUAUCCUCUCUGAUGAUAAGACCACAGUUACCCAGAAGAUAAAGUUUCUGCCUCCAAUAUUUUUGGGUCUUAGAAAGGAAAACAGUGUGCUAAAGAUGACAGGAAACUCAAAACAAGGACCUGCUAAUGCUUCUCCCAACUGGAUGGAGGCACCGUGAUGGAUUCCUGGGCAACAGAUGGGCAAAGAAAAAUGUUUAAAAACAAAAGCUGGGACAUAAGGUCAUGAAUUGGCCCAAAAUAACCUGUGACACUGAGCAGACGGAUGCAAGCAGUGCACCUGAUGGAAAUGAGGCCAAGCUGAUGAGCUGAAAUAGCCUACCCUCACUGGUGCCCUGCGUCCUGCUUCAGGACGCCUCAGCAUGGGAAAGAGGCGCGCAUUAGCAUUAUCUGGUUUAGGUUUUCUCACAUCCUUAGUGGACUGCUUUCAUUCCUAAGUCCCUAAAAAGUUGGAGACCACUCCACUUACCAGGAGCACGCUUUGGAAUGCAGAUCUGGAAGCUAUUUUUUCCCUCCAGACAUUUCAUGACUCUGGUUUCUACAACAGCAGGCGAUGGUGACGUUGCCAAGUUUCAAGAGAAGGGCACCUUAUCUGCAAAGUCACGAAUCCAAGGAUCCAAACGGGCUCCCACUGCCAAGGGCGGAAGGAAGUUGUUUGUCUUAGCUUCUUGAAAGAUCAGAAGAUUGGGAGGUUUGGGGUAUACGGGUACCUCGUUGCACCGUGGUGUACCCCCCAGGGGAAAGACUGCGGUAGCUUCUCAGAAUCUGUAGUGGGUGGGGCUGUGUAGCAGAGCGUCUUAGUAAAUGCCCAUUUGGUUGCAAAUGAACAGAAACUCAAACCAGCUGAAGUAAACAGGGGGCAUCUAUGGGGAAGAAAAGCCAGUUCAACCUCCAAGUCUGACUCUUCAGCUUUGCUUAGCCACUGAUUUUCUAAUCUUCCUCAUUUCCUUCCAAUAAACUCUUUCUAUUUAAGUUAGCCACAGAAAGUAUCUGUUGUUUACAGCCAAGGGAUCUUGAGUGAUACAAAGGGUCCUAGUGGAACCCAAGGGCAGGCAUUGGAACUGGCCUUCCCAAGAAAGGAAACUGGGAAUCAGAAAGUCAUUGGGAAUCAAGGUAACUUUCUCUGAGGUCAGCUGAGAAUGUAUUUAGCUUCAAAUGGCAGAUAACCCCAUGUGAGUAGACUGUAAAAAUUUGGAGCCCCUCCCAUACUUACUCUGGCUUUAUCUGAUGGGAUAUUAACAAACACAAGGCAAGCAGAGACUUGAAAAGUGCUUGUGCACUGGGGCCCAUUCUCACCUGCUGCUCUUGGGAACCGUGGCCACCACAUGUGAACGGGCCUAGUCCAGCUGGCUGAAGGAUGAGUGGGCGUGCUGGGCAGAGACAAAGGGUUGUAGUAGAAGGCCUCUCGAGACCGGGUUUCUCAA